rnacentral:lncRNA from 1 species
AUGGGAAGGAGAGAUGACCAAAAACAAAUAAAUCCAGUCCCUAACUCUGGAAAGUGGACCCAAUGGGGUGGAGUAUGGCGGAACAGAGUUCCACCUGGAGAAGAAGGCUCUUGCAACUCUGGCUGCCAGGAAGCCAACUGUCUUCCAUUUCUACAGUCAGGGCUGCUGUGGGUCUCUGUUAAACUUGCAACUGGGCUGCCGGACUGAGGAGAGG